AUGGAAACAGACUGGCUGCAGCGAGUUGGAUCCGUGUGGAACAUCUGCUGCCAGACCCAUAAUCAACUGCCAUCGCAUCCCUUCCCCUCGCUCCACUUCUAUGUGGUCGUGAGUUUGUGCUCUCCCACCUCCUCGUCACACCAGUUUUUGUCCAGCGAUGUCACAGAGGCGUGUACACACCAGGACUGCUCACAUCCAGGGGGCUGCGAGCACGCCAGCGUACAUCCCAGCAGGGACCCCAGCGGCAGGAUCCAAACUCUGAUUCCCGCUCAGGAUGGAAACAAACACACCUGCUUCCAUCCCUAAUUGAAACUGCUGUGCCUUUCAUCCAAAUGAAUCUUUGAAAAUAUUUGUGUGGAACAGCCCGAAAGCCCCCAAACAGGUUUGCCAUGGAAUUUCUCAGAGGGCACUGUGGUGGUUUCUAGCAAAGCCUUGGAAUGAAGCGAUUAAACCAGGAGACAUGCUUCACAGGUGCUUUGGCAGACGGAACGGUUCACAGAGAGCCUGUGCAUCCAGGUCUUCUGUUAUAGCAGGAAUCACACAGCAACGAGACUGGUUUGGAAGAAAGGAACGGGUAUCCAUGCACUCAGCUACUGUUUACGGAGGGCCGGUAGUUUGUGUUCACAUGCUGCCUCCUGCUUCUUCCAAGAUUCGGGAACCCCAGGACACAGCCUCGAUAUAUUGAAAGUAAUAAA